CAAAUGCAUCGCUACAACUUGGGCCAUGUUCUUAAGAUUAUAAAAAUAGAAAAAAUUGAAUAGUGGGCUUAGAUCAGAGUGGAUAGUUCUUGCCCAAGAGCGUUCUUAGACUUGUUCUUCGCUCCACGUGACACCUUCGUAGUGGCUCAAAAUUCUGGAAGACAAAAAAAAAUUUCAUUUUGGGAGAAAAUCAGAUUUCUUCUCCUAGGAUUUCCACCGUUUCUCCAAGCGUUCUCUGAUCUGAGUGUUUGAGUCCGUUCUCCGCACACAAAAGGGCCGAUCCCAUCUCCGUCGCCGGCGGUCAUCGCCGUCGUUUAUGUUCCUCCUCACUCUUCUCUUCUCUGCGUUCACUCUAUCCUUCAAAUUGCUUCGUCCAUUUCGAGUGAUUUUGGUUUCAUCAUACAAAUUACAGGCCAUGGAUAAGUCGAGUGCUUUAGAGUAUAUCAACCAGAUGUUCCCAACAGGUGAUAGUUUUUCUUCAUGAGACACUAGCGGAACAGUCAUACUCUUUAUACAUCGAUCAUUGGUUUAGAGUUGUUCUUUUCACUACAAAAAAAAUGAGCAUCGGUAACACACAAAAACUGCUACUAAAGGGAUUUCGUAGCGAAACUACAAACGCUGUAUAAUGAGGAGCUACGGUUGACCCCCCCCCUACCGUAGCAGUUUUUACGCGCUAUUGUAAAUUGACCUAUUAUAGCGUUAUUACUCAGCUAUUUAAUAUUCUUAACUAGCGCUUUAUUUUUGCUAUUAUGUUAUUUUUAAUAACAAAUAUUUCGUGCUGUGUAACUUGUAAUGAUAACACACUAUAUGUGUUGGUGGAUAUUAUUAACUAGCGCUUCACUCGUGCUAUUAUGUUUGUUUUUAUAGCAAACAUUUUGUGAUGUCUAACUUGUAAUGAUAACACAUUAUAUGUGCCGGUGGAUAUUGUUUCGUGACA